rnacentral:rRNA from 1 species
GUGGGGAAUUUUGGACAAUGGGCGCAAGCCUGAUCCAGCAAUGCCGCGUGCAGGAAGAAGGCCUUCGGGUUGUAAACUGCUUUUGUACGGAACGAAACGGUCCGGGUUAAUACCCUGGGCUAAUGACGGUACCGUAAGAAUAAGCACCGGCUAACUACGUGCCAGCAGCCGCGGUAAUACGUAGGGUGCAAGCGUUAAUCGGAAUUACUGGGCGUAAAGCGUGCGCAGGCGGUUUUGUAAGACAGGCGUGAAAUCCCCGGGCUCAACCUGGGAAUUGCGCUUGUGACUGCAAGGCUGGAGUGCGGCAGAGGGGGAUGGAAUUCCGCGUGUAGCAGUGAAAUGCGUAGAUAUGCGGAGGAACACCGAUGGUGAAGGCAAUCCCCUGGGCCUGCACUGACGCUCAUGCACGAAAGCGUGGGGAGCAAACAGGAUUAGAAACCCCAGUAGUCC